rnacentral:snRNA from 1 species
AGUUAUAAGGGAGAUUUGCUUGUGACAUCUAUCACUCCUGCUUGGCUAGAUAGGUGUCCCCUUCCUCCCUCAGCCCUCCAUGGGUGCUCCUCCCGAAGCUUUGUGCUCCACACAGAGCCUUCCCAAUAGAGGAGGACCACUCUGUGGUCAAGGAUAGGAGAGCAGCUGUGCUAUGUGUGUGAACCCCCAGACAUGCCCUCAAUGUUUAUUUGUAGAGAAUGGCGGGCAGCCAGACUUCCAGGACUCCAGAUACACUCAAGAGAGAGGCCACAUGGGGCAGUGCUCUGCCUUU